rnacentral:rRNA from 1 species
ACUCAAAGGAAUUGACGGGGGCCCGCACAAGCAGCGGAGUGUGUGGUUUAAUUCGAUGCAACGCGCAGAACCUUACCUGGGUUUGACAUCUGGGUGCACCACGCGUAACGGCGUGUCCCUUCGGGGCGCCCAGACAGGUGCUGCAUGGCUGUCGUCAGCUCGUGCCGUGAGGUGUUGGGUUAAGUCCCCUAACGAGCGCAACCCCUGGGGUCCGUUGUACUUUUCGGACCCGACUGCCGCGCGCAACGCGGAGGAAGGUGGGGCUGAAGUCAAGUCAGCACGGCCCUUACGUCCAGGGCGACACACACACUACAAUGGCCGGUACAAUGGGUUGCCAAGCCGCGAGGCGGAGCCAAUCCCCUAAAGCCGGUCUCAGUUCGGAUCGCAGGCUGCAACUCGCCUGCGUGAAGCCGGAGUUGCUAGUAACCGUGGGUCAGCAUACCACGGUGAAUACGUUCCCGGGCCUUGUACACACCGCCCGU